CCACUGGUUACCAUGGUUACAGGCCACAAACUGCACCAAAGAUCUUAGAGCGAAGCUACUGAAGAAGGGUUUCGGCCCGAAACGUUGCCUAUUUCCUUCGCUCCAUAGAUGCUGCUGCACCCGCUGAGUUUCUCCAGCUUUUUUGUGUAACCAUAAGAUCUUUGGGUCGGGUUAGGUAGGCUCAGGUUGCUAAAAUGGGCGUGGAAAAUGCCCAUGAUCCCCUCCAUAGCUACUACACGUCAGUCCAUUGCAUUUAGCAGGAGUAGCCUAUCUUGCUCCGCUAUAAGAUCUUUGAACUGCACGGCCGAGUCUGUGCCAAGGUCUUGUCAUGAUUGACGUUAACCAUCAAACUCUGCAACAUGAUGCUGCCUGACGUGCUCUGUUUUUACAGCACCAUUUUUGUUCAUGUUUUACAUAAAUGUGAUUCUUCAAAGGAAAAUUAAUUCACAAGAUGCAUCUCUUAAGGGACAGUUCAUGAUAUGCCAUCCUGGAAAUUUAAUUUUUGACAACUUUUACCAGGAACACCUUGAUAAGUUGUGGAGAAAGAAGGUCAAGGUUUCUUCAAAUGAGCCUAAACUUUAUGGAUCCUUGUUGAAAAGAUCCCAUUGCUUGCCACAGGCAAAGACGUCAAUCACUACUGAGGCCAGAGCCGGAUUUAGAUGAAGAGAGGCCCUAGGCUAUUCCACUUGUGAGGCCCCUCCUAAUCCGCCACCCCCACGAUGAGAGGAAGAUGGAAGAGUCCACCAGAUUGACACCGAUGUGCAGCCGAGUGUGGCCAAUGAGAUAAGGGCUGGAAAGCUGUGCUUUUUAUUUAUUGCCAGUGCUAGUGUCGAGUUAUCAGCUUAAAAACACUAUUAUUCUGAAAUAUUGUUCAGCAAGGAGAAUUACUGAAUUGUUGUUUAGAGACUACUGUGUUUUGUGACAGCAUAUGUAAGAAAGUCCUAUGACCGUGUCAAAAAUAUUAUACACCAGGUCCGUAUGAAGCUUUUCAAUAAGGGGGUUGGCAUGGCAGGAUUACAAAACUUUUAUGCAAAAUAAGUGCACACAGCGCAUAUCACAAGCGUGAAGCUGAAAGACCCUUGCGACCGGGGUUUUAGAUGCUCUCUGGUGCAUUCUGAGUCUUAUUUAGGAGCAUUUUUGCACCAAAUUUAUGACCAAUAUUUCAGAAAUAAUUUUGGUUGAGUCAAGACUAAUGAGUGGUUGGAAUGGGAUGUUUGGGGUCAUUGUUGUAUACAUUUUUAUAAAAUCAAGAAUUGAAGCUUUAAUAAUCAAGUUGUACUGUAAAAUGUUAUGUAAAAUGUUAUAAAGGAGCAUGCAAACACUGCAAAUAAAAUAUUGUAAGUUUUUGCAGUAAAUAAAACCUAUUUUUAGAAAAUGUUUCGUGUGUUGAUUUGAUUGCCUGUUACUGUUCGACGGUGUUAGU